rnacentral:rRNA from 1 species
ACUCCUACGGGAGGCAGCAGUAGGGAAUCUUCCACAAUGGGCGCAAGCCUGAUGGAGCAACACCGCGUGAGUGAAGAAGGGUUUCGGCUCGUAAAGCUCUGUUGUUAAAGAAGAACACGUAUGAGAGUAACUGUUCAUACGUUGACGGUAUUUAGCCAGAAAGUCACGGCUAACUACGUGCCAGCAGCCGCGGUAAUACGUAGGUGGCAAGCGUUAUCCGGAUUUAUUGGGGCGUAAAGAGAGUGCAGGCGGUUUUCUAAGUCUGAUGUGAAAGCCUUCGGCUUAACCGGAGAAGUGCAUCGGAAACUGGAUAACUUGAGUGCAGAAGAGGGUAGUGGAACUCCAUGUGUAGCGGUGGAAUGCGUAGAUAUAUGGAAGAACACCAGUGGCGAAGGCGGCUACCUGGUCUGCAACUGACGCUGAGACUCGAAAGCAUGGGUAGCGAACAGGAUUAGAUACCCUGGUAGGAUAGCG